CCCGACUGCUAUUUGGGUGAGGAUAAACCAUGCGAGUUGAAUGGGAUACCUAAAGUUCCCAUAGCAAACUGCUCAGUAACACAUGAUCAACUUGCCCUAUAGAGAAAAAUAACCUCGGGAAACUGAGGAUAAUGUUUCAUAACUGAAUUGGCUUGGAAAAGUUUUUCAGUGAAAGGGGUAAAAUAAAUGGUUUUUAUCUGCUAUAGGAUAGGAUCGUGUUCGAUUAUGGUUGUUGGUGAGGUAAUGGCUCACCAAGCCGAUAAUCGAUAGGGGCCGUGAGAGCGGGAGCCCCGAGAUGGGUACUGAGACAACGACCCAGGCCUUACGAGGCGCAGCAGGCGCGAAACCUCCGCAAUACACGAAAGUGUGACGGGGUUACCCAAAGUGUUCAAUUUUGAACUGUGGUAGGUGAGUADAUGUUCCCUACUAGAAAGGAGAGGGCAAGGCUGGUGCCAGCCGCCGCGGUAAAACCAGCUCUUCAAGUGGUCGGGAUAAUAUUGGGCUUAAAGUGUCCGUAGCCGGUUUAGUAAGUUCCUGGUAAAAUCGGGUAGCUUAACUAUCUAUAUGCUAGGAAUACUGCUAUACUAGAGGGCGGGAGAGGUCUGAGGUACUACAGGGGUAGGGGUGAAAUCUUAUAAUCCUUGUAGGACCACCAGUGGCGAAGGCGUCAGACUGGAACGCGCCUGACGGUGAGGGACGAAAGCCAGGGGAGCGAACCGGAUUAGAUACCCGGAUAGUCCUGGCCGUAAACGAUGCAUACUAGGUGAUGGCACGGCCAUGAGCCGUGUCAGUGCCGUAGGGAAACCGUUAAGUGUGCCGCCUGGGAAGUACGGUCGCAAGGCUAAAACUUAAAGGAAUUGGCGGGGGAGCACCACAAGGGGUGAAGCCUGCGGUUCA
rnacentral:rRNA from 1 species